UGGAUUAAUGAUGACGAUUGGUAGCAUCUGAGUCUUGGAUGAUGAAUCCUACAGGUCUGGAAUGCUGAGCUCCAA